ACUGAGCGGCGGACGGGUGAGUAACGCGUGGGUAACCGUGCCUCAUACAGGGGGAUAACAGUUGGAAACGGACUGCUAAUACCGCAUAAGCGCACAGUACCGCAUGGUACGGUGUGAAAAACUCCGGUGGUAUGAGAUGGACCCGCGUCUGGUUAGGUAGUUGGUGGGGUAACGGCCUACCAAGCCGACGAUCAGUAGCCGACCUGAGAGGGUGACCGGCCACAUUGGGACUGAGACACGGCCCAA
rnacentral:rRNA from 1 species